GGACUACCAGGGUUUCUAAUCCUGUUUGCUACCCACGCUUUCGUGUCUCAGCGUCAGAAAAUGUCCAGAUAGCUGUCUACACCACAGGUGUUCCUCCUGAUAUCUACGCAUUUCACCGCUACACCAGGAAUUCCGCUAUCCUCUCCAUCCCUCGAGCACUCCAGUUUCCGCCGCACCCUCCCAGUUAAGCCGGGAGAUUUCACAACAGACUUAGAGCACCGCCUACACACUCUUUACGCCCAGUAAUUCCGAACAACGCUUGCUGCCUACGUAUUACCGCGGCUGCUGGCAC
rnacentral:rRNA from 1 species